GGCAGCAGCCGCGGUAAUACCCGCAGCCCGAGUGGUGGUCGAUUUAUGAGUCUAAAACGUCGUAGCCGGUCUGAUAAUCCCUGGGUAAAUCGGGUGGCUUAACCAUCCGAAUCCGGGAGACUGUCAGGCUUGGGAUCGGGAGAGGUAUGAGGUACUUCAGGGGUAGGGGUAAAAUCCUGUAAUCCUUGGAGGACCACCGGUGGCGAAGGCGUCAUACUAGAACGAAUCCGACGGUGAGGGACGAAGCCCUAGGUCGCAAACGGGAUUAGAUACCCCGGUAGUCUAGGGUGUAAACGCUGCAGACUAGGUGUUGGAGGCCCUACGGGGGCACCCAGUGCCCGAGAGAAGUUGUUAAGUCUGCUACUUGGGGAGUACGUCCGCAAGGAUGAAACUUAAAGGAAUUGGCGGGGGAGCACCGCCAACGGGAGGAGCGUGCGGUUUAAUUGGAUUCAACACCGGAAAACUCACCAAGGGAGACCAUCCCAUGAAAGCCAGGCUAAUGACUUUGCUUGAUUCUUGGAGGAGAGGUGCAUGG
rnacentral:rRNA from 1 species